rnacentral:rRNA from 1 species
CAGCCGCCGCGGUAAUACGUAGGGGGCAAGCGUUGUCCGGAAUUAUUGGGCGUAAAGCGCGCGCAGGCGGUUUUUUAAGUCUGGUGUCUAAGUGCGGGGCUCAACCCCGUGACGCACUGGAAACUGGGAGACUUGAGUGCAGAAGAGGAGAGCGGAAUUCCACGUGUAGCGGUGAAAUGCGUAGAGAUGUGGAGGAACACCAGUGGCGGAGGCGGAUCUCUGGACUGUAACUGACGCUGAGGCGCGAAAGCGUGGGGAGCAAACGGGAUUAGAUACCCCGGUAGUCCCUGUCUCUUAUACC